rnacentral:rRNA from 1 species
GAUUAACGCUAGCGGCAGGCAUAAUACAUGCAAGUUGAACGGCAGCACAGGUAGCAAUACUGGGUGGCGAGUGGCGCACGGGUGCGUAACACGUAUGCAACCUACCCUAUACAGGCGAAUAACCUUUAGAAAUGAGGGCUAAUACGCCGUAGUAUUACAGAUGGGCAUCUAUUUGUAAUUAAAGAUCUAUCGGUAUAGGAUGGGCAUGCGUCCCAUUAGUUAGUUGGUAAGGUAACGGCUUACCAAGACGAUGAUGGGUAGGGGAUCGGAGAGGACUUACCCCCACACUGGUACUGAGAACCGGACCAGACACCUACGGCAGGCAGCAGUAAGGAAUACUGGGCAAUGGCCGCGAGGCUGACCCAGCCAUGCCUGGUGCAGGAAGACGGCCUUAUGGGUUGUAAACUGCUUUUAUACGGGAAUAAUAGAGUGUACGCGUACAUUUAUGCAAGUAUCGGAUGAAUAAGCAUCGGCUAACUCCGUG